ensembl:lncRNA
GCCUUUAUGUAAGAAGCACCCCAUAAUUUUACAAGGCUCAGUGUUCACAGUAAAAACCCCAAAAGUGGAGUCUGGCUCUGAUCUGUACAUCGAGAGAGUUUGAGAAUUGUGGGCAAUUUGACAAUGGCAUUACAGUGAAGAUGGCAGAUAUAAGCUCAUUAUGAGGUGAACGCCGCUGACCCCGAGCACCAACUCAUGAGGAUUUGGAUCGAGGACUUCUAGUCCAGUUGAUCUGAGGUGUCGGACAACGACGGCGCAGGGAGUCGAACGGAGGUGGACUAAAA